rnacentral:rRNA from 1 species
ACAGCAGUAGCCACGGUAAUACGAAGGGUGCAAGCGUUACUCGGAAUUACUGGGCGUAAAGCGUGCGUAGGUGGUGGUUUAAGUCCGUUGUGAAAGCCCUGGGCUCAACCUGGGAAUUGCAGUGGAUACUGGGUCACUAGAGUGUGGUAGAGGAUAGUGGAAUUUCCGGUGUAGCAGUGAAAUGCGUAGAGAUCGGAAGGAACAUCUGUGGCGAAGGCGACUAUCUGGGCCAACACUGACACUGAGGCACGAAAGCGUGGGGAGCAAACAGGAUUAGAUACCCCCGUAGUCCCUGUCUCUUAUAA